rnacentral:rRNA from 1 species
GACGAACGCUGGCGGCGUGCCUAAUACAUGCAAGUAGAACGCUGAAGCGAGGAGCUUGCUCUUCUUGGCUGAGUUGCGAACGGGUGAGUAACGCGUAGGUAACCUGCCUUGUAGCGGGGGAUAACUAUUGGAAACGAUAGCUAAUACCGCAUAACAAUAGGUGACACAUGUCAUUUAUUUGAAAGGGGCAAUUGCUCCACUACAAGAUGGACCUGCGUUGUAUUAGCUAGUAGGUGAGGUAACGGCUCACCUAGGCGACGAUACAUAGCCGACCUGAGAGGGUGAUCGGCCACACUGGGACUGAGACACGGCCCAGACUCCUACGGGAGGCAGCAGUAGGGAAUCUUCGGCAAUGGGGGCAACCCUGACCGAGCAACGCCGCGUGAGUGAAGAAGGUUUUCGGAUCGUAAAGCUCUGUUGUAAGUCAAGAACGAGUGUGAGAGUGGAAAGUUCACACUGUGACGGUAGCUUACCAGAAAGGGACGGCUAACUACGUG